rfam:Salmo salar isolate Sally breed double haploid chromosome ssa07, whole genome shotgun sequence.
UGCAUUCACUACUGUGAGUCGCUCUGGAUAAGAGCGUCUGCUAAAUUACUAAAC